rnacentral:rRNA from 1 species
UGAAUACGAGAUGCUACGGCGUCGAAGCAGUGUAUGUCAGACUUCCAAGAAAAGCUCGCAAUGUCAUAAAUAAAGAAUGCCUGUACCAUAACCGACACAGGUGGGUAGGUAGAGUAUACUAAGGGGCGCGAGAUAACUCUCUCUAAGGAACUCGGCAAAAUAACUCCGUAACUUCGGGAGAAGGAGUGCCUUCUUGAAGAAGGUUGCAAUAACAAGAUCCAAGCAACUGUUUAUCAAAAACACAGGUCUCCGCUAAGUCGAAAGACGAUGUAUGGGGGCUGACGCCUGCUCAGUGCCAGAAGGUUAAAGAAGCUGGUUAGCAAUAGCGAAGCUGGUGACUGAAGCCCUGGUGAACGGCGGCCGUAACGAUAACGGUCCUAAGGUAGCGAAAUUCCUUGUCGGGUAAGUUCCGACCCGCACGAAAGGCGUAAUGAUUUGGAUACUGUCUCGGAGAGGGACUCGGUGAAAUAGACUUGUCUGUGAAGAUGCGGACUACCUGCACCAGGACAGAAAGACCCUAUGAAGCUUUACUGUAACUUGAAAUUGAAAUUGGACUUUAUUUGCGCAGUAUAGGUGGAAGGCGUUGAGAUUACUCUUGCGGGAUUAGUGGAGCCAUCAGUGAGAUACCACUCCUAUAAUGUUAGAUUUCUAACUUUGGAUCAUAAUCUGGUCAAAGAACAGUUUCAGGCGGGCAGUUUGACUGGGGCGGUCGCCUCCCAAAUGGUAACGGAGGCGUACAAAGGUUUCCUCUGAACGGGUAGAAAUCGUAUCUAGAGUGUAAAGGCAUAAGGAAGCUUGACUGUGAGACCUACAAGUCGAGCAGGGACGAAAGUCGGUCUUAGUGAUCUGACGGUGCUGAGUGGAAAGGCCGUCACUCAACGGAUAAAAGUUACUCUAGGAUAACAGGCUGAUCUCCCCCAAGAGUUCACAUCGACGGGGAGGUUUGGCACCUCGAUGUCGGCUCAUCGCAUCCUGGGGCGGUAGUACGUCCCAAGGGUUGGGCUGUUCGCCCAUGAAAGCGGUACGCGAGCUGGGUUCAGAACGUCGUGAGACAGUUCGGUCCAUAUCCGGUGUAGGCGUUAGAAUAUUGAGAGGAGCCUUCUUUAGUACGAGAGGACCGAGAAGGACAUACCUCUGGUGUACCAGUUAUCGUGCCAACGGUAAACGCUGGGUAGCUAUGUAUGGAGAGGAUAACCGCUGAAAGCAUCUAAGUGGGAAGCCCACCUCAAGAUGAGUAUUCUC